CUACGGGUGGCUGCAGUAAGGAAUAUUGGGCAAUGGACGGAAGUCUGACCCAGCCAUCCCGCGUGCAGGAAGAAUGCCCUAUGGGUUGUAAACUGCUUUUGUUUGGGAAGAAAUGUACUUUUUCAAGAGUAUUUGACGGUACCAGACGAAUAAGCACCGGCUAACUCCGUGCCAGCAGCCGCGGUAAUACGGAGGGUGCAAGCGUUAUCCGGAAUCACUGGGUUUAAAGGGUGCGUAGGCGGCCAGAUAAGUCAGAGGUGAAAGUUUCCGGCUCAACCGGGAGAUUGCCUUUGAUACUGUUUGGCUUGAAUCAGAUUGAGGUUGGCGGAAUGUGACAUGUAGCGGUGAAAUGCAUAGAUAUGUCAUAGAACAUCGAUUGCGAAGGCAGCUGGCUGGAUCUGUAUUGACGCUGAGGCACGAAAGCGUGGGGAGCAAACAGGAUUAGAUACCCUUGUAGUC
rnacentral:rRNA from 1 species